rnacentral:misc_RNA from 1 species
GAAAUGCGAUAAGUAAUGUGAAUUGCAGAAUUCAGUGAAUCAUCGAAUCUUUGAACGCACAUUGCGCCCGCCAGUAUUCUGGCGGGCAUGCCUGUUCGAGCGUCAUUACAACCCUCAGGCCCCCGGGCCUGGCGUUGGGGAUCGGCGGAAGCCCCCUGCGGGCACAACGCCGUCCCCCAAAUACAGUGGCGGUCCCGCCGCAGCUUCCAUUGCGUAGUAGCUAACACCUCUCAACUGGAGAGCGGCGCGGCCACGCCGUAAAACACCCAACUUCUGAAUGUUGACCUCGAAUCAGGUAGGAAUACCCGCUGAACUUAAGC